UGGCGGGGCACCUGCCAGUGUGACUGUAAUAAGUCCCCUCCUCCAGCAGCCAUAAGUACAGCGGCUGGGCCUUGGCGGCCUCCUCUAGCCGGGUGACAUCCUCACGCCUCAGAGGCACUUGCUGGCAGCCGCUGGGGGGACGCGGCAGGAGCCUCAAAUGCCACCUACUCCCCGGCCUCUCUCCCAGUUGCUGCUUCUAUUUUAGGCACCACAUUAUUUCCUGCUGUGAUUUUUUCAGGCUUCUAAUUCGGGCUCUGAGGAAGGGGCUGUACAUGCUUCCGCAUCAGUGGUUCUCAACUUUUUUGGGCAAGGGCCAUUUUGAAAAUCUGAUGAAGUAUGCGCCCUGCUCCUAGAAAAUGACCACAGCAACCCACAUGCACACAAGUCACUACAAUGAUGCUUGUAAUUUCGGGUGUGAGCAACUCCUGAAGUUGGACCAUCCAACCCUGGGAAUCCGAGGCUCCAGGUUAAAAGCCGCAGCUCAGUCCCAGGGGAGAGGUACCAGGAAUUGAACCCAGGAGGCACUUAAUCACUGAGUCACAAUCCCGGCCACCCUGCUUUCUUUUUUUAUUUUGAGACAAGGUCUUGCUAAGUUUCUUAGGGUCUCAUUAAGUGGCUGAGGCUGGCUUUGAACUUAUGAUCCUCCUGCCUCAGCAGGAUUACAGUCGAGUACCACAGCACCUGGCUAGUAAUGAACAUCUUUUAUUUUUCAUGAAAAAUCCCAUGUCAUUCUUUCACUUUUUACUUAGUAAGGUAGGAAAUUAAUAUCAGUCACUUCCUAUUUCAGUAGACAUUUGAGAAACCAGGUGUUUUUAGAAUUAGGUCUCUUGCUCCCUCCUCCCUUCCAUCCUACCCAUUUAUCCUGAUAGACAUCAGCCUUAAAAUCAGAAAUAAGAUCUGUUUUGCAACUACCAUACUAAUAAUUGAUUCAAGCAAGAAUCAUCAAUGGAAGUAAAAGUUAGAUGAGGAAAGGAUACUCACAGCCUUAAAUAAUCCUUCACCCAAUUAUUUACUAAUUAUAAGAAGAAAGAGUAACUUUUCCUGGCAGACAUCUCCUAAAUCAAGUGAUCAAAGUUAAUAUCAUCAAUCCCAAGACAGAGACAUCAUAUGGCUCCUGAUAUGACACACUGAGAAUACAACAUCACUUCUGUGGGAUUCCUGCCAGCAAAUGCCUAACUUGGAAUCUAAUUGUGAGCCCACGUCAGACUAACCAAACCAAGAAGCAUACUACAGAACUGACCUGUACUCAUGAAAAAUAUCAAUGUCACGCAAGACAAAGAAAGGCUGAGGAACUAACUGUUCUAUGGUAAAAACUCAAGAGAUAUGAAACUAAAUGGAAUGUGUGAUCUGGAUUGGAUCCUGGACUAUCUCUGUUAAGAACAUUAUUGGAAAACUGAAUGAACUUUACUAUGCAUUAUAUAUUAAGUAAUAGCAUUAUAUCCAUGUUAAGUUCCCUGAUUUAUGUAAGAAAGUAUCCAAGUUCUUGAGAAAGUCACACUGAAAUAUUUAAGGGGGAAGAAUUGCUAGUCUGCAACUUACUCUCAAAUGGUUAAAAAGAAAGAAAAUAAGUAUAAAUAUGUAUAUAUACACUCAGUUAUUAAAACAAAUGUAGCAAAAUGUGAACAUUCGGUAAACCUGAGUGAAGAAUACACUAGAGUUCUUUGUACUGGUUUUGCAGCUUUUAGGUAAAUUAAAAUGAUGUCAAAAUAAA